rnacentral:rRNA from 1 species
UACGUAGGGUGCGAGCGUUAAUCGGAAUUACUGGGCGUAAAGCGUGCGCAGGCGGAUUGUUAAGCAAGAUGUGAAAUCCCCGGGCUUAACCUGGGAAUGGCAUUUUGAACUGGCAGUCUAGAGUGCGUCAGAGGGGGGUGGAAUUCCACGUGUAGCAGUGAAAUGCGUAGAUAUGUGGAGGAACACCAAUGGCGAAGGCAGCCCCCUGGGAUGACACUGACGCUCAUGUACGAAAGCGUGGGUAGCAAAC